AAGAUAGAGUUUGAUCCUGGCUCAGAUUGAACGCUGGCGGUAUGCUUAACACAUGCAAGUCGAACGGUAGCUGGCCUUCGGGCGCUGACGAGUGGCGGACGGGUGAGUAACGCGUAGGAAUCUGCCUCAUAGUGGGGGACAACGUGGGGAAACUCACGCUAAUACCGCAUACGCCCUACGGGGGAAAGCGGGGGCUCUUCGGACCUCGCGCUAUGAGAUGAGCCUGCGUUAGAUUAGCUAGUUGGUAGGGUAAAGGCCUACCAAGGCGACGAUCUAUAGCUGGUCUGAGAGGACGAUCAGCCACACUGGGACUGAGACACGGCCCAGACUCCUACGGGAGGCAGCAGUGGGGAAUAUUGGACAAUGGGCGCAAGCCUGAUCCAGCAAUACCGCGUGUGUGAAGAAGGCCUUAGGGUUGUAAAGCACUUUCAAUGGGGAGGAAAACCUGCCGGUCAAUACCCGGCAGCUUGACAUUACCUAUAGAAGAAGCACCGGCUAACUCCGUGCCAGCAGCCGCGGUAAUACGGAGGGUGCGAGCGUUAAUCGGAAUUACUGGGCGUAAAGCGUGCGUAGGCGGUUCGUUAAGUCAGAUGUGAAAGCCCCGGGCUCAACCUGGGAACUGCAUUUGAAACUGGCUAACUAGAGUUGAGUAGAGGGGAGUGGAAUUUCAGGUGUAGCGGUGAAAUGCGUAGAUAUCUGAAGGAACACCAGUGGCGAAGGCGACUCCCUGGACUCAAACUGACGCUGAGGUACGAAAGCGUGGGUAGCAAACAG
rnacentral:rRNA from 1 species